rnacentral:rRNA from 1 species
UACGGGGGGGGCGAGCGUUGUCCGAAGUUACUGGGCGUAAAGCGCGUGUAGGCGGGUUGUUAAGUCCGCUGUGAAAGCCCGGUGCUCAACGCCGGAGGGUCGGUGGAUACUGGCAGUCUUGAAGUGGCUAGGGGGAAAUGGAAUUACCGGUGUAGCGGUGAAAUGCGUAGAUAUCGGUAGGAACACCAGUGGCGAAGGCGGUUUCCUGGAGCCCACUUGACGCUGAGACGCGAAAGCUGGGGGAGCGAACGGG